rfam:Gossypium raimondii Chr05_contig_121, whole genome shotgun sequence.
UAUUAAAAAUUUUGUCUAUUUGUAUUGUGAAAAACUAGUGUGCUUGACGAAAUAACCAGAUAAUGACAAAUGACAUGCCACGUGUACCUUAUAUUGACAUUCGGGAACUAGUUUUUAAUAGCAAAAAUUGAUGGAAUUUAGUA